AUACUUACCUGGCAGGAGAUACCAUGAUCAUGAAGGUGGUUCACCCAGGAGGCGAGGCUCAGCCAUUGCACUUCAGUUGUGCUGACCAGUGCGAAUUCCCCAAAUAUUGGAGAUGUCAGCCUGCAUAAUUUAAUGUUAGUGGGGGACUGCGUCCGCGCUCCCCUG